rnacentral:rRNA from 1 species
UUGGCUUAGAAGCAGCCAUCCUUGAAAGAGUGCGUAAUAGCUCACUGGUCAAGUGAUCGUGCGCCGACAAUGUAGCGGGGCUCAAGCACACCGCCGAAGCCGCGGACCCAUAACAGUGUUCCCUUCACCGUCCCACAUCGCUGGGGUGGUGGCAGGGGUUGUGGGUGGUAGGGGAGCGUCCUGCACCGGGGGAAGCCUGUGGGUGACUGCUGGUGGACGGUGCGGGAGUGAGAAUGCAGGCAUGAGUAGCGAUACUAGGGUGAGAAGCCCUAGCGCCGAAUGACCAAGGGUUCCAGGGCCAGGCUAGUCCGCCCUGGGUGAGUCGGGACCUAAGGCGAGGCCGACGGGCGUAGUCGAUGGAUGACGGGUUGAUAUUCCCGUACCGGACCGGAUACCGACCGUGCCGACGCGCGGGUGCUGACCCACGCCCCGCGCCGCCCAUCGCGCCUCCCGGCCGGUUAUUCGUAACCGCGGGGGGCGGGCGGCGGGGGUCUGGGGACCCUCCGUGCAGGUAGGCAAGCGUAUUAACAGGGGUGACGCGCAGUGGUGGCCCCGCGGGUCUGAUGGCUCGGCCCGUUCAAGCGCGCGGCCCGCCGCCCAGGCAAAUCCGGGCGGCUGCCUUCAAUGGCGGGGGUGAGGCGCGACGGUGACCCGGCCCGAUGGGGCCGGGGAAGCAGGGUGAUCCUGAGGCGCCUAGAAAAGCCUCGACGCGAGGGGCCGGUCCGCCCGUACCCCAAACCGACACAGGUGGUCGGGCAGAGCAUGCCCAGGCGCACGGGCGAACCGUGGUGAAGGAACUCGGCAAAACGCCCCCGUAACUUCGGGAGAAGGGGGGCCCGAACCCUGAGGCCCCGAGCGGGCUGGGGGUGAGGGUCGCAGAGGCCAGGGGGGAGCGACUGUUUACUAAAAACACAGGUCCGUGCGAAGCCGUAAGGCGAUGUAUACGGACUGACGCCUGCCCGGUGCUGGAAGGUUAAGAGGAACCAUCAACCCUCGGGUGAAGUGGUGAAUUUAAGCCCCAGUAAACGGCGGUGGUAACUAUAACCAUCCUAAGGUAGCGAAAUUCCUUGUCGGGUAAGUUCCGACCUGCACGAAUGGCGUAACGACUCCCCCGCUGUCUCCACCACGGGCCCGGCGAAAUUGCAUUACGAGUAAAGAUGCUCGUUGCGCGCAGAAGGACGGAAAGACCCCGGGACCUUCACUGCAGCUUGGUAUUGGCGCCCGGUUCGGCUCGUGCAGGAUAGGUGGGAGACUGUGAGGCCGCCGCGUCAGCGGUGCGCGGAGUCGUCGUUGAGAUACCACUCCGGCCGUGUCGUGCGCCUGAACCUGGGCCCGUGAUCCGGGUCAGGGACAGUGCCUGGCGGGUAGUUCAACUGGGGCGGUUGCCUCCCAAAGGGUAACGGAGGCGCUCAAGGGUCCCCUCAGCCUGGUCGGCAACCAGGUGUCGAGUGCAAGUGCACAAGGGGGCUUGACUGCGAGACCGACGGGUCGGGCAGGUGCGAAAGCAGGAACUAGUGAUCCGGCGAUCCCGAGUGGAAGGGUCGUCGCUCAACGGAUAAAAGGUACCCCGGGGAUAACAGGCUGAUCCUGCCCAAGAGUCCAUAUCGACGGCAUGGUUUGGCACCUCGAUGUCGGCUCGUCGCAUCCUGGGGCUGGAGCAGGUCCCAAGGGUUGGGCUGUUCGCCCAUUAAAGCGGUACGCGAGCUGGGUUUAGAACGUCGUGAGACAGUUCGGUCCCUAUCCUCUGCGCGCGCAGGAGACUUGAGGAGACCCGUCCCCAGUACGAGAGGACCGGGACGGACGAACCUCUGGUGCGCCAGUUGUCCCGCCAGGGGCACCGCUGGUUGGCCACGUUCGGAACGGGUAACCGCUGAAAGCAUCUAAGCGGGAAACCACCUCCAAGACCAGGUCUCCACACAACCCCCACGGGGGUUGCGGAAGGCCCCCAGCAGACCACUGGGUGGAUAGGCCGGAGGUGCACACCCGGCAACGGGCUCAGCCGACCGGUACUAAUCGGCCAACACGAACACACC